AUCCAGCCGAUGAGUCCCGAAUAGGGCGGAACUCGAGUCCUGAAU
rfam:Schistosoma curassoni strain Dakar, Senegal genome assembly, scaffold: SCTD_contig0001064